rnacentral:lncRNA from 1 species
CCGGGCUUAGUAACUUGAGCCUGUAACUCAAGUGAGGGCUAUAGGAUGGUUGAAGGGUUGGUUUGGUCCAGAUGGUUGGGCUAGUUUGGUUUAAUGCAUGGCCUGCCCAUUCAAGUGAGGAGUUUAACCAUGGGUUCUGAGCGAAGGCUCAGAGCUCUCGGUCACUAUAGUGGAGGGUACUGCGCUAGGCUGGUUUCACAGAGCAGCGACCACUUCCCUCUCCUUUCGGUGGAAGGAUUACAGGCCGGUAAUCAGCUACUCCCAUCAAAUAAACCUGAUGGGCCUCCCAAUUCAACAACCAUCUUUUUCCCUAAUCAUGUCUAUUUUUUGUUUUGGGAAAGUAAACUAUCUAUUUCCUUUAAUGUGAUGUCUAUUUUUUGUUUGGGUAAUUUAUUUAAUAUGCUAAUUAAUUAAAUUAUUUAGUUAUAAAAAGCGGUUCACUAAUUAUUAUGUAAACUUGGGCAUGUAUGACAUUAAUUAUGAGCCAAUGGAAUGAAAGGAGUGAAAUCCAAAAAAGUAGGAGCAAAGUAAGGUCCAAGUUGCUUAUUUUUAUUUACGAAAGCUUAAGCUAAUUUAAUCUCAACUUUAUUACUCAGUCCAUAAUAGCAGCCCAAACUCUUGAUACUAAUUGUGUACUUAUGACUAGACUUGGCAAUAUAGUUGGUUAACUAUCAGGUCAACCCAUAUUAAUUGGUAUCAAAUGGGUUGGUUAACUACUUUUAUGGGUUAAUUACAUAUUUUAGUACAUUUUUAGAAAUAAUUACAAUAAUAGUGCAUCCAUAAAAUAAUUACAAAAGUAAUACACUUUUCCAUAAUUAUUUAUAAUAUUAGCAAUUAGGAUUCCUUAAUUUAGGAAAUUAGUAUGCAAUUAGGAUUCCUUAAUUUAGAGGAUUAAUAUAGAUUUACUUUCUCUCUCCACUUGUUUUCGUUUCUUUAAUUCAAAGACUGUAACAUUCAAACUCUCCAUCACUGGUGCAGUUAUGUUAAGGUUGUGCGCCAUGGACACAGUCAAAGCUUUCUAUCCUUUUUCUCACAAAGGCCCCCAUUGAGUAUUCUCUAUAGCAGUUCUUUGUCACUGAAAACCAUGGCGGCCUCUCGACAUCUUCAAUCUGGAAAUAUGAGUUGCCCCAUCCAUAGUUGUCACCCCUUUUUGCCUUUUGAGGCAAAGUGAACUCUUCAAAUUGUUGAUAGUGGUGGAGAAUACUUUUGAAGUAGUUUUUCAUACUAUACUACUACAGCGGAGGCCUGUAGAUUUAGUGGAAAAGCACCAGUAUACAGAGAGAGAAAGUGACAGUGAUGUGAAGGCUGUGCCAGUAGAAUCGGAUGACGAUGGUGGGAGAUCUGUUGGGGAAUUAUUGGGAACGAAUCAGGUUGAAGUGGACAAGAAAGAGGAUGAUAGAUUAAAUAAUGGUGAGGUUUAAAUAAUGGUGGACGAGAAAGAGGAACGAAUCAGGUUGAAGUGGACAAGAAAGAGGAUGAUUAAGUGUGUUAGCUCUUUAAACUUUGACACAAUUGUUCUGUUUCUGAAAAGUGGUAUUACCUACAGUUUUUUCAUAGUGCAGUUGGUAGCCAAUCAUUCAUACCAAGGUAACCAAUUCAGUGUUAUUAAGUUACAAAUUUAUUUUGAAUAUGAUGUAGUUGGUAGCCAAAUCUUCAUGCAGUGGGUAGCCAAACCUUCAUACCAAGGUAACCAAUUCAGUUUUAUUAAGUUACCAAUUUAUUUUGAAUAUUAUGCAGUUGGUUGCCAAACUUUCAGACCAAGGUAACCAAUUCAUACUAUAGGUGUGGAGGUAGAUUGGUUACCUUGGUAUAAAGGUUUAGUUACCUUGGUAUAAAAAUUUGGUUACCUUUUUAAGAAAGUUUGGUUAUCAACAUUACAUUACACAUCACUCUCUUAUCUCUCUCUUUUCUAUGCAAUGUUCUUAUUUUCUUUUGGACAUGAAAUUGGAAUUGAAAUUUUCGGACAUGAAUAAAUUGUGAAAAAUCAAAUAUUCACCUCCUUUCUACAUCUCAUCGACCAUUUUGUGGCUCUGUCUCACCGGCGAAGGGGAGGAGGAAGAUGACCGGCGAAGGGGAAGAGGAAGAUGAUGUUGCCAAACUUUGAAUAUUUGAAUUUGAAUUUGUUUUUGUUGUUAGAUCUAAGAUAUUUAAAUUUGAAUUAUUAAUUAUGACAGUUAUUUCUCCUUGAUUUUAGGUUUCUUUAUUAUUGUGAAUUGAAUCCUAUACUAAUUCCCUAAAUUAAGGAAUCCUAAUUGCACUUAUAUUAUAAAUAAAUAUGAAAAAAUGUAUUAUUUUUGUAAUUAUUUUGUGCAUGCACUAAUAGUGUAAUUACUUACUAAAUAUUGUAUAUUAUUGUAAAGGACCCAAAUUAUUUUUUGGCAAAAAUUGACCCACAUAUUGGUCUCUUUGGAUCCAAAUGUCAUAGAGAAAUAAAGUAAGACAAAAUAAAAAAUAAAAAAAAUCCUUAUGUUGACAUACAAAUUUGAUAAAUAAGAACAGAAAAUUGUAUAUUCUCUCACUUCCCAUAAAAAUAUCUCCUCUUCAAAAUUAAAACUCCCUCAAACAGGUUUUGAUUAUAACGAAAAUGUAUUUAGCCUUUGUCAAUACUGCAAAUUAAGGAGAUGUAUUUAAUUAAGAUUUUUAAUGACUUUUUUUAAGUGACAGACUUUUAUAGAGUUUGUAAAUUUUAAUAACUUUUAAAGACUUUAAAGACUUUUUAAAAAUGACUUUUAUAGACUCCAUGAAAUAAGUGACAGAUUUUAAUAGACAUUUGUAUAUUUCUCAUAUAUCUUGUAGCUUAUAUUAAUUGUUAAUUAGCCCAUGUGUACAACCUCUCACUCUUUUUUCAUGAACUAGAGGAAAUCUCAUUAUUUCAUUAAAUUAUUAUGGCAUGAGAUUUUAUAUAUGUUGAAAGCAUUCAUACUAUUCUACUCAUUUCAUGAUAAAUUUGGAUACUCGAAUACGAAUAAAACUUUAGAAGCUACAAACUCAACACAAAAAUUAAGCUCACUUUUCAUUGAACUAUAUAUGCGUACAAUUUUUUAGUAGGAGUACCAAACUCUAUUUUUCACAAAAUAAUAUGACAAAGAAAUUCUAUAUGAUCGCAAAACUUCAUACAUGUGAGUAAAUUGACACCAAAUUUUAAAAAAUUUACCAGAUAGUUUUUUGUCGUCGGUAAGCCACAAACAAAAUUGUCAGAGAGAUUUAAUUUUUCUUAAAAUUAUUAAUAGUUGUUAGUGAACCAAAAUUGACCGUUAAAAAAAUAAUUAUGUGAUUUUUUAAUUUAUUUAUGAUGUUAGAAAUUAAUUAAUUAAAAUGCUACGUAACUAAUAUUUUAACAGUCGACCGUUGUCAUCUUUUAACUAAUUUUUUAAAUUUUGAUGAGUUUUAGAAUUUAUCAAGAUUCGUAUAUAUCAUAUACUAUAUCUAUAUAAUAUAAAAAAUAUAUAAUAUAAUAUUAAAAAUCAAAAUUUACUGUUUGAUUUUUCAAAGUCAUUACGAGAUAUUCCUAUAAUAAAAGUUUGUGUAAUUUAUCUAAUUUUUAAUAAAUUUAGUAAAAAAAAAUAUAAAUAGUUUAUAAUUUUAAUAAUUAUAUUUUAUAAAAUUAGAUUAAUUUAUAUUCAUUUUAAGUUAAAAUUUUACCGGAGAGUUUUGCGACUUUUGAAUUUUUCAUAAAAUCUCUCUGCAAUUUUUUUAUUGGCGAUUUGAAUUUUUACCUUUGUGUUUAAUAUUUAGAAGUCUUUAGAGAUGAGGUCAGACUUUGGAUAUGAGUUGAUAGUUAUAAUUUUUCUUCUAAAGUCUGUCAAACUCUAAUAUUUGAUAAAAAUCUGAAAAAUCAAUGACUUUUUGAAUACCAAAAUACUUUUAUAGACUUUAUAAAAGUCUCAAUUCAAUAUCACCUAACUUUUAAAUACAUUACAAAAGUUGUAAUUGAAUACAAGUAAACUUUUAUAAACUCUUUAAAUGUCUUGAUUGAAUAAAACCAAACUUUUAAAGUCUUUAAAAGUCUAAAUUGAAUAUGUUAACGACUGAUUUUGUACGCCUGACGAAAUCACCCAAAAGGACAUGCCAAAAUAGCGCCAACGGUUGAUGGAGUAAUUGUUGUGAAAUCAAAGUCAUGAAAUACACUCACAUAAACAUAAAUAAAGAAAUAUAAAGUAUGAACACAUGAUUUACGUGGAAACUCAAUUGGGAAAAAACCACGGAGAGAGAGAGUAAUCCAUUAUAAUAAUAUUGGGAGUACAAGUUGUGUAGUGUUGUAACUCUUGUGCCCUUGUGAUAUUUUGUUCUUUUAUGUUCUCCUUUCAACCCCAGCUUGUAGUCGUAUAUAUAGAAGUCACCUCCUCCCGCAUCCAACUAGGAGAAGGACUCCUUAUCCCUCCAAAUAAGGAAACACAAUCCUAUUUUAAUAAGGACUCUCCCAUUGUCAUAAUAAAUACAUAUGUGCCAUCACCAGAUCCGGACCAUUAAAUAGACUGGGCUGCACCAUGGCUAGACCCAAAUAAUCACAUCCCAACAUUGUCCCCCAGUCUCUUAUUUAUAAGAAACUUAUAAAUAAGAGAGUAUUUAAAAAGUCUCCGUGGGAUUUUUAUCCUCGGGAUUUUUAUCCUCCAAAUUUUUAUCCUCCGAAUUUAUAUCUUCCAAAUUUCCUUCAGUCUGUGCUUGAUGAUGAAACCGAAGCCGCCUUUAAAGCACUUUAAUGAUAUAAAAGCUUAAACUUUUAUCUCUGUGCUGGCUGGAUUCAUUACUAGUGCGGUGACUCAGCACCAAUUUAUCAUGACCUGGACCAAAGUGUUAAUGUUUAGAUUUUACAUGCGUCAUGUGAAUACUACUACUAUAUGCAUAAUAUAAGAGAGAGAAUAUGUAAAGUUGUAUCAAUAAUCAAUUACGAUCAUGCUUCAACUGCUAUUGACAUAAUACAUAUAUACACACGUACAAGUAUAUAUUUAAUUUAAUAAAAAAGAAUCACUUAUCUCCUUCGGUGAAUCGGUGAUUUUAAAUCGACACUAGAACAAGUGUCUUGUUCCCACAGACGGCGCCAAUGUUAACGCCUGAUUUUGUACGCCUGACAAAAUCACCCAAAAGGACAUGCCAAAAUAGAGCCAACGGUUGAUGGAGUAAUUAUUGUGAAAUAAAACUCACGAAAUA